AAUUCCCGUAGGAGAGAAAAGUACAAACAGCAAACUCACCUUCACAAUGAAUCUUCUAACUGAAACAGUUCGUUUUUGUCCAAUGCGGUGAAUUCUCAUGAUUGCUUGCUCUUCUACGGCUGGGUUCCACCAUGGAUCCUACAUGUAUGAGCAAGAUUAAUUUGUAUAGAAUGACUGGUUCAUAGAUUUUCUAAUUGUAGCGGGUGUGCCAAGUAGAUGAAAGCUAUCACGAAACGUACCAUGAGAAAGACAUGAGAGGCAGCAGUUAAGUUCAAGCCUACCCCACCAGCUCUAAGAGACAUCAGAAGUAUCUGAAGUUUAUGAGCAAGCAAAGGAACCGGAAUCAAUACAAACAAUUGGUCAAGUGUCACAGCAGGAUGAUCACAUGGUGUGUGUAUUAAUCAGUCUUACCAUUUUGUCAUUUGUCUCAUUGAACUCCUUCAAGAUCCUCUCCCUUUGCUUCUGCGCCAGUUUCCCAUCAAAUCUCAGAGCCCGACUGCCGAAUAUUUUCCAGGCAAUCUAAAAGCUUCGACACCUUUGAAGAUUCCUUCCAGUUCUUUUCAACAUCAACUCUGAACUGGCUUUCUGUAGGGCACGUAAUGAGAUCGUUUUUCCUCAGCGUUUGGCGACAGAUUGGGCACAGGCCAGAGCUAUGUGUAAGCCAGCUUGACAAAAGGCAUUCCCUGCACAUCCUAUGAGCACAAGGUGUGAGCACAGGGUCAUCUGCUGACUCCAGGCAAAUUGGGCACUCUGUAUUUUCGCCCCGUCGGAUGCCGUCAACUACCUCUUCAACAUAGGCUCUAGACGGGACUAUCUGAUUACAGGAGGCAGAAUGGGGAUUCAUAUCAAGGAACUUUCUUGCAAGCUUGUUCAAAUCUGCAUACUGCUGGGAAUCACUUCGGCUGUGCAUCCAAAGGCAUGUCAAGAAAAAAUCUUCACGAACAAACCAACAAGAAGGAAAACUUUUUGAGUCCAUCGAUAGUUUGAUACCUCAUGACAAGGAAUGGAUGGUUGCAGCACUGCCUCAAUCGAAGUAGAAGUUCAAGGAUAGAUGCGAAAUUGUGAAGAACCUUGCCCUGUGCUACAAAUUGAUCAAAUCGUACCUGUUUUGAUUUUGCACAAGAAUGUUAGCUGCAUCAUUAAGAGAGAAUACUCUCGCUAAAUGUGUCUCUAGAAGAAACCGCUGGCACUAAAAUAAUAGUUCAAUACUUGGAUCGAAUCA